UACGGAGGGUGCAAGCGUUAUCCGGAUUCACUGGGUUUAAAGGGUGCGUAGGUGGGCAGGUAAGUCAGUGGUGAAAUCUCCCGGGCUUAACCCGGAAACUGCCAUUGAUACUAUCUGUCUUGAAUACCGUGGAGGUGAGCGGAAUAUGUCAUGUAGCGGUGAAAUGCUUAGAUAUGACAUAGAACACCAAUUGCGAAGGCAGCUCACUACGCGAAUAUUGACACUGAGGCACGAAAGCGUGGGGAUCAAACAGG
rnacentral:rRNA from 1 species